rnacentral:snRNA from 1 species
GAGUGUUACAGCUCUUUUAGGAUUUGCCUAAUAGGUUUUCUGUCCCCCCCCCCCACCCCCGAGAAAACCCCU